GGCUUGUCUCCUGAGAGAGAGGAUGAGGGUUAAGAGAGGAAGAGAAAAUGUGACAAAGGCACUGAGGAAAUACAAAAUGGUAUUUGACAAUCAACACGAAUGAGAAGCCAUAGAACUGUAAAGGCAUUAUUCACAUGGUUAUGUUUUUUCCCAGCAGUAUUCCACCAUGCAGGUUUAGAAACCUUUAGAAAUUGUUCGUCGGAGGUUGUAUUCAGCUGCUAGCAUCAGAAGUUAACAGUGUGGUAAACAACACAGAGGGCUUUUCCUUCCUCACCGAAAAGGAUCCGGACAGAGUUCUCAGUGGCUCAGCAGGUUAAGGACCCAGCAUUGGCACUGCAGUGGCCUGGGUUCCUUCUCUGGCUCAGGAACAUCCACAUGUUGUGGGUAUGGCCCAAAAAACUUAAAAAUAAAAGGACUGGAGCCAGACAGCAGAGGCCACUUAAGCACGCAGGCUCCUACCUUUCUGCUCACUGGGCCAGAUACCGGCUUCUACCCUGAAGGUUGCCCCACGGCUCAAAAAAGCUGCUGGGACUCCCGCUGUUAUUUGAGAAUCUAAGUGGGGAAAUGGAAGAAGGAGGCAUGGUCAAAAAGACUAUGCCCCAGCUGUCUGUCCUGUUCAACAGCCUCUCUCCAAUCCUACCCACAACUUCACCUUACUUCUUACUGGCUAGAUUCAGUCAUAGGUCCCACAUCGCCCUACAGAGGGGCACUCUGACAUUCCCAGUCAAGUCAAGGUUCCGCAACUGGAAAAGAAGUGAAUGGGUAUUGGGUAAGCAAAGCGCAUUCCCAUCCAGGACUGGAGAUGCGUCAAGUAAGUGUGACAGAAGGACAGGGGAACACAGAAGGUCAAGGAGCCAGUGAGAGGGCCCAGAUGGAGAGUAGAGGGCUCAGCAGGGAGUGUGGAUCAUCUGAAAGAAAGUAGAUCCUCAAGGGACAAGAGUUCAGUGAGGUCAAAGCACAGCUACAGAGGGAUGGUGACAAAAAUCAGCUGGAAGGAAAGACAGUGGAGCCUAAAAAUGAUGCUAGUAUUUACUAAGUCAGAGUUCUCAGGCUCGGUGAUUUUUUUUUUUUUAAGCCUAAUUGUGGAGUGGAGGUCUCUGGAGUUGGCAGGGUGGGGAGACAGGAGAGUCCAGUGUGUUCAGAGGGUCAUGCCCAUGAAUGAUGCGAUCUCCCAGGGUGGUGCUGACUGGUGGAGAAGAGGUGUGUGAACCAGGGGCCAAACCUUUGGGAAAUGCUGCGGAGACUUGAGAAGGAUGUAGAGGGAGAGGGCUGCGGGGAGACAGCACAGGUUUCAAAGGGUACAGAGGAAUGGGCUGCAGGGCCAACACGGAUUCCAGCCAAGAGGAUCACAAAAUGGAUAAGCACAACAGCCGCCACUCAGAAGGGCAGCCAAAGAAGCUGGCUUAUGAGGACAGGAGGGAGCAGUGGUGCCUGUGACAAGGGGGCAGGGGCAGGUCUCAGCAGAGGAAGGACCAGGUUGGGGGAUGCCCUGGACUCCAAGGAAGGGAGAGGAAGCAACGGGAAAGCUCAGGAGAGAGCAGGUGAAGGGGCUCAGGGUGCAGGGAGGGCUGCUCUCCCGAUUGCUGCCGAGGACAAGGCAGGACAGGUAUGGGUGGCCUUAGGGUGCCAGCUGGGUCCGGCUCUGAGUCCCAGGUCCUUCCCAGGGGGGUUUCAGCAGCUCUGGUCCCUCCAAGGAUGGACUCAGAGUGGGACGGGGCAGGGCAGGCAGGGAGGGCACAGGCCUCCGUGGAUGGCACACUGACAGGCUGUCCGUCCCCCUGCAGGUCUGCAGACUAAAGCCAGAACCCCCGCCAGAAUGAUGGCAUCCUCUAUGCCUCCCUCACCCUCCACAACGUGCCCUCACCAGCCGCACCUCCAUGCCCUCCCGCCCACGGGGGCCCCCAGGAAGAGACCCUGUACUCUGCCCUGAAGACCUAAGGACUGGGACGAGUGAUGACCUCCUUAGGGUCAGCCAUGCACGGGGAUCUCACUUCCCCAUAAUCAGAGCCAAACAGAGACCACUCAGAAGCCAGCAGGUGCCGAAGGCCACCGAGGACCUGAGCACCUACCUGCUCCAAUUCCUCUUCGACUUCCCAGCCCUUGACCACACAAAUAAAAGUACCUGUAUGAUUUGCCCGA
rnacentral:lncRNA from 1 species